rnacentral:rRNA from 1 species
AUUGAACGCUGGCGGCAUGCCUUACACAUGCAAGUCGAACGGCAGCACGGGGCAACCUGGUGGCGAGUGGCGAACGGGUGAGUAAUGCAUCGGAACGUACCUUUCAGUGGGGGAUAACGUAGCGAAAGUUACGCUAAUACCGCAUAUUCUGUGAGCAGGAAAGCAGGGGAUCGCAAGACCUUGCGCUGAUUGAGCGGCCGAUGUCAGAUUAGCUAGUUGGUGAGGUAAAGGCUCACCAAGGCGACGAUCUGUAGCGGGUCUGAGAGGAUGAUCCGCCACACUUGAACUGAGACACGGUCCAGAGUCCUACGGGAGGCAGCGGUGGGGAAUUUUGGACAAUGGGGGCGACCCUGAUCCAGCCAUGCCGCGUGAGUGAAGAAGGCCUUCGGGUUGUAAAGCUCUUUCGGCCGGGAAUAAAUCGCACGGGCUAAUACCCUGUGUGGAUGACGGUACCGGAAUAAGAAGCACCGGCUGACUACGUGCCAGCCGCCGCAGUAAGAC